rnacentral:rRNA from 1 species
AACGAACGCUGGCGGCAUGCCUAACACAUGCAAGUCGAACGAGACCUUCGGGUCUAGUGGCGCACGGGUGCGUAACGCGUGGGAACCUGCCCUUAGGUUCGGAAUAACUCCCCGAAAGGGGUGCUAAUACCGGAUAAUGUCUUCGGACCAAAGAUUUAUCGCCUUUGGAUGGGCCCGCGUUGGAUUAGCUAGUUGGUAGGGUAAAAGCCUACCAAGGCGACGAUCCAUAGCUGGUCUGAGAGGAUGAUCAGCCACACUGGGACUGAGACACGGCCCAGACGCCUCCGGGAGGCAGCAGUGGGGAAUAUGGGACAAUGGGCGAAAGCCUGAUCCAGCAAUGCCGCGUGAGUGAUGAAGGCCUUAGGGUUGUAAAGCUCUUUUACCAGGGAUGAUAAUGACAGUACCGGUAGAAUAAGCGCCGGCUAACUCCG